rnacentral:lncRNA from 1 species
UCAAAAAAUAUUCGCUGAAUUUAAGAAUGAUUUUGCUUACAUUUUACUCUUUCAGAUUUGGGAACUCAGACUCAGAGAGAGCCUCUCUUCUCAUUGAGACUAAGUGACAUCAGUGAAUGGGCUGGUCUGGAUGGCUUCACUCAUAUUUCUGGUGCUUUGACAAGGAUGAUUAGAAGACUGGACUUAGUUGGGGCUGAAUCCUUCUUCUUCAACUUGGUGGACUGAUGGUGGGUAGACUUUUCAUCUUGAGGCUUGGGAAUCUAAAA